rnacentral:siRNA from 1 species
AGUGACUACCAGAUAAGAUGUU